rnacentral:rRNA from 1 species
GGAUGACGGCCUUCGGGUUGUAAACCUCUUUCAGUAGGGAAGAAGCGAAAGUGACGGUACCUGCAGAAGAAGCACCGGCUAACUACGUGCCAGCAGCCGCGGUAAUACGUAGGGUGCGAGCGUUAUCCGGAAUUAUUGGGCGUAAAGAGCUCGUAGGCGGUUUGUCGCGUCUGUCGUGAAAGUCCGGGGCUUAACCCCGGAUCUGCGGUGGGUACGGGCAGACUAGAGUGCAGUAGGGGAGACUGGAAUUCCUGGUGUAGCGGUGGAAUGCGCAGAUAUCAGGAGGAACACCGAUGGCGAAGGCAGGUCUCUGGGCUGUAACUGACGCUGAGGAGCGAAAGCAUGGGGAGCGAACAGGAUUAGAUACCCUGGUAGUCCAUGCCGUAAACGUUGGGCACUAGGUGUGGGGAACAUUCCACGUUUUCCGCGCCGCAGCUAACGCAUUAAGUGCCCCGCCUGGGGAGUACGGCCGCAAGGCUAAAACUCAAAGGAAUUGACGGGGGCCCGCACAAGCGGCGGAGCAUGCGGAUUAAUUCGAUGCAACGCGAAGAACCUUACCAAGGCUUGACAUGUUCUCGAUCGCCGUAGAGAUACGGUUUCCCCUUUGGGGCGGGUUCACAGGUGGUGCAUGGUUGUCGUCAGCUCGUGUCGUGAGAUGUUGGGUUAAGUCCCGCAACGAGCGCAACCCUCGUUCCAUGUUGCCAGCACUUCGGGUGGGGACUCAUGGGAGACUGCCGGGGUCAACUCGGAGGAAGGUGGGGACGACGUCAAAUCAUCAUGCCCCUUAUGUCUUGGGCUUCACGCAUGCUACAAUGGCCGGUACAAUGGGUUUCGGUACUCUGAGGUGGAGCUAAUCCCAAAAAGCCGGUCUCAGUUCGGAUUGGGGUCUGCAACUCGACCCCAUGAAGUGGGAGUCGCUUGUAAUCGCAGAUCAGCAACGCUGCGGUGAAUACGUUCCCGGGCCUUGUACACACCGCCCGUCAAGUCACGAAAGU